rnacentral:rRNA from 2 species
UACGGAGGGUGCAAGCGUUAAUCGGAAUUACUGGGCGUAAAGCGCGCGUAGGCGGCUUUGUAAGUCGGAUGUGAAAGCCCUGGGCUUAACCUGGGAAUUGCAUUCGAUACUGCUUAGCUAGAGUAUGGUAGAGGGAAGUGGAAUUUCCGGUGUAGCGGUGAAAUGCGUAGAUAUCGGAAGGAACACCAGUGGCGAAGGCGACUUCCUGGGCCAAUACUGACGCUGAGGCGCGAAAGCGUGGGGAGCAAACAGG